rnacentral:rRNA from 1 species
GGCUCCUUGUUAAUAUGAAACAUAAGGAGUCUGACCUGCCCUGUGACGAGAGUUUAACGGCCGCAGUACCCUGACUGUGCAAAGGUAGCAUAAUCAUUUGCCUUAUAAUUGAAGGCUAGUAUGAAUGGUUUGACAAGAGUGUUUCUGUCUCUUAAGUAUUUUAUAAAAAUUAAAUUUUAGGUUAAAAUGCCUAAAUAGAAUUAAAGGACGAGAAGACCCUAUCGAGCUUUAAGGAUGGUAUUAAAUUAAAUUAUUAUAUAAAAUUUUGUUUUAGUUACAAGACUUUUGAUUGGGGCGAUCAAGGAACAAGCAAAGCUUCCUUAAAAAUAUUCAGAGUUAUAGCUAAUGAACCAAUAAGUUGGUUAAUUGAUUAUAGAAUAAGUUACCGUAGGGAUAACAGCAUAAUCUUUCUUGAGAGUUCUAAUCGAAAGAAGGGGUUGUGACCUCGAUGUUGGAUUGAGGUAACCAUUAGGUGUAGAUGUUUUGUUGGUUAGUCUGUUCGACUAUUAAAUCCUCACA